rnacentral:misc_RNA from 1 species
UUAAUUUUUGUUUGUAUUCAGACGCAAACACUAUACAGCAUAAAUGCGGCGGCCCGUUUGACGGGGUCGCCGAAGCACAACUUCCUUCCACAGGUUUGAGGGUUAAGGCCAGAAGACCAUUCGUUAAUGAUCCCUCCGCAGGUUCACCUACGGAGA